rnacentral:rRNA from 1 species
UGGGGAAUUUUGGACAAUGGGCGAAAGCCUGAUCCAGCAAUGCCGCGUGUGUGAAGAAGGCCUUCGGGUUGUAAAGCACUUUUGUCCGGAAAGAAAUCCUUGGCUCUAAUACAGUCGGGGGAUGACGGUACCGGAAGAAUAAGCACCGGCUAACUACGUGCCAGCAGCCGCGGUAAUACGUAGGGUGCAAGUGUUAAUCGGAAUUACUGGGCGUAAAGCGUGCGCAGGCGGUUUGCUAAGACCGAUGUGAAAUCCCCGGGCUCAACCUGGGAACUGCAUUGGUGACUGGCAGGCUAGAGUAUGGCAGAGGGGGGUAGAAUUCCACGUGUAGCAGUGAAAUGCGUAGAGAUGUGGAGGAAUACCGAUGGCGAAGGCAGCCCCCUGGGCCAAUACUGACGCUCAUGCACGAAAGCGUGGGGAGCAAAACAGGAUUAGAUACCCUGGUAGUCCACGCCCUAAAACGAUGUCAACUAGUUGUUGGGGAUUCAUUUCCUUAGUAACGUAGCUAACGCGUGAAGUUGACCGCCUGGGGAGUACGGUCGCAAGAUUAAAACUUAAAUGAAUUGACGGGGUCAUAGCUGUUUCCU